UUCCCAUGACUUGAGAAAGUUAACUUGGUGAAUCUAAUGGCUCUGAACCUAUAGUUUUGCACCACUAAGCUAUAUGUUUAGCGAUAGUUGUUUCUAUCGUAGGGGAAUGAUCGAGUGGAUGCAUGAAGUUGGCCAUUGGAAAUGGAAAUUUUGAGAGCUUGAAGGAAGAUCACAUUUGCAUAUAGGCAUCUAUAUUUUGUAUAAACCUUGGGACUUGUACAUGAUCUAUGUGUUGUAUAUUUACAUGAAAUUUUGAGGACUAAUUUGAUCAUGUCACCAUGGGUUGUAAUAUAAGUAUGGCUCUAUGAUUUGUUCUUUUGGGGUUCGUAAGCCCAAGUCUUGUAAUAUAUUAAAUUUAUCACUAAUUUUGAAUGAUUGUGCGAAACAUGAACCACCUAGUUUAGUAACUCGAAAGUUGGUAAUAUUCUUUUUAUAUUUUUUACUAGUGUGAGGACAAUAUAUAUGAAAAAUAAAUCUUAUGAGUUAUUGGCUUAUGUUAGCUUGGAAGGGUCGCUACAAAGAAGGGAAAGAGGCAACUGAGAAAACUUGCCCAACGAAAAGAUUCUGAAUAUUCAUAUCUCAUAUGUAGGUUGUCAGGUCAUUUGAGAAUCCUUAUUCAGUAUCACCCGUUCCAGUACAAACCAAGCGCUAACUAUGGUAGUUUGAAUGAAACCUCUCAAGUAGAGAAUCUUCUUAAAAGAAAUUUAAGGGACCACAUUCCCAUCAACUUUUUGAACAAAAGUAAGCAAUUUCUUGUAUUUUUGGAUUUAAAAAAAAGGUAGAUAAAUCACUAACUUUUAUAUGAAGAACAUAGCAAUACGCAUGAUUGAAAAAGUCACAUUAGUUGAAAAUCGAGAAAGAGCAUCAACCUUUCUUACAAGGCUACUGUAGUUCUCCCAACUAUUGCACUAAGGAAAGUGAAUUUUGCACCUCACAGACCAGUCAUGUGCAGUCUGUUAGUGGAUGGUCAUGAAGACUAUGCAACCAUUUCUAGAAACAUAUUUCACUUUUUCAACAAUGUUAAAAGCACUUGAUAAUGAAGAUUAGAUAAAAGUUUGUCAAGAAACAACAGUGAUGGCUUAUGAAUUAUGUUAAUCCCGAUUGAGACUCUUCAUGUUCUCCCCAACACACUCCUUUUCUUCCUUCAUCUCCUAUGUAUUGCGUUGGCAUGUGCAUAUAGAUAUUCAGUUUGCAUUAUCAAGUUAUGAAUAAAAUAACUUUAAUAACUUUGAAACUAAUGCUAUAACCUAUACAACAUGCUAUAUAACUUAACUCCUUUGGUUGAUAGUAGGACUUUUUGGGGUGUGGGGAUUUAAAAUAAAGAAAAUAGAGAAAAACUGUAGAAAUAGUACUUUAUUCAAAGUAUUCUGCUAUCACCUGUUUCUCCAUCCAUUAAGAUCUGAUAUUGGAGUAUAUUUUUUUGAAGUGAUAGUUAUUAAAAAAAAGCGUCAAAAACAUGCUAUUACUUCAUACUUUAAGCGUUGUUGUGUGAUUCUUCUAUGGUCUUAUCGUAAGAGACAGUAAUAUAGAAGUAAGAUUUAUUUUCAAGCAUCAUUGUAGAUUCCAAAUAUAUUGGGAUUCAUAUUACACUACAAAAGGAACCCCAAUUACCAACAAAUAAAUUCGUUGGUAAAUUGAUCAAAUUGGUUGGCAAAUUGAGUUACCAACCAAAUGCCAACUUAUAUUAAUCUGUUGUUAAAAGGCUCGUCGGUAAAUAUUACCAACAGAUUUUAAUUUGUUGGUAAACUUACCAACUAAAAUCAGUUGGUAAACACCUAAAGAUGUUGUUACAAAAUUUUGAAACAUGGCCCUGAAAUUUUCGUUGGUAAAUUCACCAACUAAUUUUUGGUUAGUAUAUCGUUAGUACCUUUACUAACGAAUUGAAAAGGAGUUAGUAAUUUUUUUUCUUCAUUAUUCGAUUCUAUUGGUAAUACGUUGAUAAUUACAGUAAAUUUUUGUUGGUAAUUUACUAAUAAAUUUUAAAUACUUUUAUUUUUUGGUUUCCCAUCCAAUGUUCGAUACCCCACACCAGAGCCCGACUAAAUCCGGAUUCACGCCGGGAAGUCCCACAUUGGGGAGUAAAGCGCUCCCUAACAAAGACGACUCCAUACCCAAGGGGAAUCGAACCUGAGACCUCUAGGUUAGGGAUGAUGCAGUAAUUACCACUCCACCACAACCCUUGUUGGUAAUAAAUCAUUCAAGGCAACUCCGCAAGGGGAAUCGAACCUGAAACCUCUUGGUUAAGGAUGAUGGAGUACUUACCACUCCACCACAAUCCUUGUUGGUAAUAAAUUUUAAAUAUGUUAGUAUGAUUAUUUGUUUUUCUAAUAAAUUUACUAAUUGAUUGUUAGUUAGUUGGUAAUAUAUCUCUUGGUUAAGGAUGAAGGAGUACUUACCACUCCACCACAACCUUUGUUGGUAAUAAAUUUUAAAUACGUUAGUAUGAUUAUUUGUUUUUUCUAAUAAAUUUACUAAUUGAUUGUUAGUUUGUUGGUAAUAUAUCAUUCAAGUUCAAUGUUAGGUUAGUAAUUGAUUGACAAUAUGUUCAAAAUAUUAUUAACUGAAUGAUUAUCCAAUAGUUAAAUAUUUAUUAAUUUAUUGCAUUUAAAAAUCUAAGAGCACGAAUAUAAAUCCAAAAAUACUAAUAUCAAUUUUCUAAAUCAUAUUUGAAUGAAACAAUGCAAAAUCUUUGAUAACAAGUUAAAUUAAUCUCAAUAUGACACAUAUCAUUAUAUCAAAAAAAUUAAUUUGAGCACGUUUACCAAAAAAUUGACCAAAUCUAAAUUUUGGCCAAAAAUUUUAAAAGUUAAAACGCCUAACAGUACAAACUGAAAAUGGAAGCCUCAAAACCUGAACCAACCAUCCUAUUAGAUAUAAAAAUGACCUUCCAAAGCUAAUUGCGCUGACGAAAUUCUCAUCAGAGCACGUUUACAAAAAUGUAAAGCAAAGUCAAAUUUUGGCCAAAAGUUAAAAGUUAAAACGCUUAACGGUACAAACUGAAUAUGAAAACCUCAAGACCCAAAUCAACCAUCCUAUAAGACGAAAAAUGACCUUCCAGAGCUCACCGCGCUGACGAAUUCAAAUUUGAACAUGUUUCCCAAAAAAUAGACCUAGUUCAAAUUUUAGCCAAAAGUUAAAAGUUAAAACACUCAACACAAACUGAAAAUAAAAGUCUCAAAACCCGGACCAACCAUCCUAUGAGACCAAAACUGAACUGAUAUGGCUAACCCCGAUGACAAAAUUUCAAUUCGAGCACGAUUAUCAAAAAUAUUGACUAAAGUGAAAUUUUGGCCAAAAGUUAAAAGUUAAAAUACCUAACGGCACAAACUAAAAAUGGAAGCCUCAAAACCCGAACCCUCUAUCUUAUUACAUAAAAAAUGACCUUCCGCAUCUAACUGCACUGACGAAAUUCUCAUCUGAGCACGUUUAUCAAAUAUAUUGACUGAAGUUAAAUUUUAGCCAAAAUUUAUAUGUUAAAACACCUAACGGCACACACAAAAUAAAAGUCUCAAAACCCGAACCAACCAUCCUAUUAGAUAAAAAAUGACCUUUGGAGUUAAUUACGCUGACGGAAUUCUCAUUUGAGCACGUUCACAAAAAUAUUGACCAAAGUUAAAUUUUGGCCAAAACAUAAGAUUUAAAACACCUAACGGAACAAACAAAAAACGGAAGCCUCAAAACUUGAACCAACCUUCCUGUUAGAUCAAAAAUGACCCUUCGAAGCUAAUGACACUGAUAGAGUUCUAAUUUGAGCACGUUUACCAAAAAUAUCGACCAAAGUCAAGUUUUGGCUAAAAUUUAAAAGUUAAAAUGCCUAAUGACACAAACUAAAUAUGAAAGCCUCAACACUAGACGCUGAUUUACCAAAAAGUUUAACUUCAAUUGAUAAAUUUACCAAUUAUUCAAAUAUAAGUUAGUAAUUAAUAAUUUACCAAUAAAUUUUAUCACAGUUGGUAACAAUUACUAUUCAACUAAACAUUCAUAUGUAAUAUUACCAACUAAUAAUUAAUAUGUUGGUAAAUUUUACCAAUGGAUUAAUGAUCAGUUGGUAUAUUACCAACUAUUUUAAAGAUGUUAGUAAUUUACUAACUACAAUCUUUAUUCGUCGGCAAAAUUUUCAACUAAUUGGAUAUUGGUUGGCAAGUUUACCAACAAAUUACAUUUCGUUACUAAUUUACCAUAACAUUUAUAUUUGGUUGGUAAAUUUAGCAACACAAUCUUGCCGUUGGUAAAUGUUUGGUUAGUAAUUCAUUGGUAAUAUGUUAAUAAAUUAUAUAAACAAUUUUUUGUCAUAUUUACCAACCGAUAUAUACUUCGUUGGUAAUAUUACCAACAAAAGGUGUGCGUUAGUAAUAUUUCAGUUGGUAAUCCAUUGAUAAAAUGUUGCUAAAUUUGGCGCCAUUUUUUCCCGCCGUAUUUACCAACCAAAAUACUUAGUUAGUAAGAUUUUGGUUGGUGAUCUGUGAGAAUUUCGUUGUUAAGUUUUAAAAUAUAAUUCAGUUAGAAAUAUGUUGGUAAUUUGUUAGUAGAAUACUAACCAACUUAAGUUGUUAGCAAAAUCUGUUGGCAAUUUAGGGUUUUUUUGUAGUGUUAGGUGUACAACAACAUUUGAAAGAUAAUACAUCUUUACAUGAGUAUAAUGGCUUUACUUGAGUAUUUAAAAAGCUCAUGAACAGAUCUUGGCUAAUUAAGAACCUGAAAAAUGCACACUAUAAUUGUUUUACAUGUUUCAUUCAAAAUCAACAGAAUACAAAAGUUUAGAUUCCAUCUCUGACAAACAUAUUAUCAAAUACAUUAGGUGGUGCAUUAUCCGCCUCAAAUUAAUUGUUAAUCCACACAAAAUACAUCAAAAAGACAUAAUGCAUGUCGAAAUCAGGAACAACAGCUAACAUGCAUAUAAAACUUCUAGUAGACAUAUUGUUAUCAAAGGAAUUAUAUCUCUCUAAUUAAUCAUGAUGAUGCAUCUUCCAGUGAUUGCACAAUAUAUAGAAAUAUAGUGAAAAAUCUACGAAGAAAGAAACAUAACAAAAUAUUGUUAGUGCUAUUAGGCAUAUUAUUGAAUACCUUGAAUGCGCAAAGUGCCAUAGCAUAGAAAAGUAGUGAAAUAUGAAAUUCAUUUGCCAAAACUUCUCCAAAUAUUAACCCCUGCAAAAGAAGUAGAUUAGGAACAAUAUAAAGGCAUGCAAAAAGUCUUCGAAAAAUAGAGAAAUUCAAGCUAGAGAAGAAGAAAGCACAUGAAAAAUUUAACAUUCAAUCAGGAAAAAAGUGUGUUGAGAUGGAUGAACA
rnacentral:lncRNA from 1 species